UACGUAGGGUGCAAGCGUUGUCCGGAAUUACUGGGCGUAAAGGGCGCGUAGGCGGUUCGUUAAGUCCUGUGUGAAAUCCCCCGGCUCAACUGGGGAACUGCACAGGAAACUAGCGGGCUUGAGUUCGGGAGAGGGAAGCGGAAUUCCGGGUGUAGCGGUGAAAUGCGUAGAUAUCCGGAAGGAACACCGGUGGCGAAGGCGGCUCCUGGACCG
rnacentral:rRNA from 1 species